AAGAUACUCCCUCCGUCCAACAAAAAAUGUCUCAAGUUUUUUCUUAAAAUUUGAAUGUAUCUAUACAUGACUUAGUGUAUAGAUGCAUUCAAAUUUAGUCAAAGUUGAGACAUCCUUUGUUAGACGGAGGAAUACUGA
rfam:Brachypodium distachyon strain Bd21 chromosome 2, whole genome shotgun sequence.